AGAGGAAACAUGGCCGAGUAUACGCGGCUGCACAACGCCUUGGCGCUAAUCCGCCUCCGAAACCCGCCGGUCAACGCGAUCAGUACGACUUUACUCCGUGACAUAAAAGAAGGACUACAGAAAGCUGUAAUAGACCAUACAAUAAAAGCCAUUGUGAUUUGUGGAGCAGAGGGCAAAUUUUCUGCAGGUAACUCAAGUCUAACCCUCUCCCACCAUCUCUGGAAUCCAGCCACAGACUGAGACCAAUACUGCAUUAGCUGUGCUUGUUGGUAAUAACUUAGUGUAGGUAAUGGAUAUGGCAGACUUGAGUGAGAAUGAGUAACACUGUGGAGAAAGGGACAGGAAUUACAAGAGAGACCCAGAGAAGGGCUUAGUCUCUUUUAUUGUGGAUUGGGCUUUUAGAGUAUAUUUAGUUCCAGACUUGAUGGCUGUUAUACACCUGCUGAUAUAUACCUGCAUUGCAUGUAUCUCCACCAUAUGUGGGCUUGGGCAAAUCUCUUUAACUUCCUGAACCUCAAUUUCUCUAUCUAUAAAGUGGGAACAAUAAUAUCUAUUUUAAGGGGUUUUUGUGACAUUAAGCGAGAUAACAUAUCUGAAAGCCUCUACUACAGUACCUACACAAAGAAGAUGGUCAAUAAAUGUUAUUGUUUAAUUCA
rnacentral:lncRNA from 1 species